AAGUGUUAACAGCUCUUUAAGAAUUUGUCUAGCAGAUUUUUUAGUUUUCACUAGAAAACUCUUA